UUGACGACUAGCUUAGGCUGGCUUAGCGGUCAAAAGCAGUGGGGCGUAAACCCAAAGAACCUGGGUUCGAAUCCCAGUCGAGUUCAAA